GCCUGGUGUGGUGGCCCACACCUGCAUUCCCAGCUACUGGGGAGGCUGAUGCGGGAGGAUCACUUGAGCCCAGGGCUUCUAGGCUGCAGAGCACUAUACUGAUCAGGUGCCCACACUAAGCUUGGCGUCAAAAUGGAGGGUCUCCUGGGGAGCGGGGGACAACUGAGGUACCCGAGGAGGGGUGAACCAGCCAGGCUGCAGAUGGGUCAGGUGAAAACUGCUGUGCUGCUCAAUAGUGGGAUUGCACUUGAGAAUAGUCACUGCACUCUAGCCUGGGAGACAUAGCCAGACCCUGUCUCU
ensembl:misc_RNA Metazoa_SRP Metazoan signal recognition particle RNA